rnacentral:rRNA from 1 species
AUUGAACGCUGGCGGCAGGCUUAACACAUGCAAGUCGAGCGAGCGGCGGACGGGUGAGUAAUGUCUGGGAAACUGCCUGAUGGAGGGGGAUAACUACUGGAAACGGUAGCUAAUACCGCAUACCAUCAGAUGUGCCCAGAUGGGAUUAGCUAGUAGGUGGGGUAAUGGCUCACCUAGGCGACGAUCCCUAGCUGGUCUGAGAGGAUGACCAGCCACACGUGAACUGAGACACGGUCCAGACUCCUACGGGAGGCAGCAGUGGGGAAUAUUGCACAAAGGGCGCAAGGCUGAUGAAGCAAAGCGGGGUGGGUGAAGAAGGCCUUGGGGUUGAAAAGCAAUUUCAGCGGGGAGGCGGUACUCGCAGAGGAAGCAUCGGCUAACUCCGAGCCAGCAGCCGCGGUAAUAC